UCCCAUGUAGUAUAGUGGUUAGUAUACUCCGCUUUCAUGCGUCCAGUGAGACCCGGAGAGUCCCGAGUUCGAACCUCGGCGUGGGAA
rnacentral:tRNA from 1 species